UACAGAGGUCUCAAGCGUUGUUCGGAUUCAUUGGGCGUAAAGGGCGCGUAGGCGGCUUUGCAAGUGACGGGUGAAAUCCCUCGGCUUAACCGAGGAACUGCCUGUCAGACUGUGAGGCUUGAGACCGGGAGAGGUGAGUGGAAUUCCCAGUGUAGCGGUGAAAUGCGUAGAUAUUGGGAGGAACACCAGUGGCGAAGGCGGCUCACUGGACCGGAACUGACGCUGAGGCACGAAAGCGUGGGGAGCAAACAGG
rnacentral:rRNA from 1 species